rnacentral:rRNA from 1 species
CCUGUUUAUCAAAAACAUGGCUCUCUGUAUAUUGAAGAUAGAGAGUCGGACCUGCCCGGUGAAUUUUUUAACGGCCGCGGUACUCUGACCGUGCAAAGGUAGCAAAAUCAUUUGCCUUAUAAUUGAAGGCUAGAAUGAAUGGUUUGACAAGAAUACAACUGUCUCUUUACAAUUACAUAAAAUUUUAUCUGCAGUUGAAGAAGCCUGCAUUUGAAUAAAAGACAAGAAGACCCUAUCGAGCUUAAAAAAAACUGGUGGAAUAACAAACUUAAUCCUAACUUAUAAAUAAAUAAAUAGUCAACUACUGGAAAUUUUGGUUGGGGCGACCGGGGAACAAAAAAAACUUCCUUUAUAAAAAUUUAGAUGCCCAAAUAUUGAUCCAGCAUUAUAUGAUUAAAGAAAUUAGUUACCGUAGGGAUAACAGCAUUAUCUUUUUUAAGAGUUCUUAUCGAAAAAAAGGUUUGUGACCUCGAUGUUGGACCAGAAUAUCCUAAAGAUGCAGCCGUCUUUAAGGGUUGGUCUGUUCGACCAUUAAAA